AAAGCAGGUAGUCCAUCUGAAAUUUUAGUAAAAUCAUCGCAUAAAUUAUAUUUGUCAUAUAACAAAAAAUUUAUAACCAGAAGAACUGAAAUGCUCAAAACCAAGAUAUGGUAGAACCAAUAGAUAUUGAAAGAACAGAUAAGGCAUACAGUGUCCAUCCAACUAGGACACUUUCAGCAACCAAAGACUGCUGAACAGAGUGUAAU
rnacentral:misc_RNA from 1 species